rnacentral:tRNA from 1 species
UCCCUGGUGGUCUAGUGGCUAAGAUGCCACGCUACCAACGCAGGGGGGCCCAGGUUCAAUCCCUCGUCAGGGAC